AUACGGAGGGUGCAAGCGUUAAUCGGAAUUACUGGGCGUAAAGCGCGCGUAGGCGGCUCGAUAAGUCGGAUGUGAAAGCCCCGGGCUCAACCUGGGAACUGCAUUCGAAACUGCCGAGCUAGAGUUUGAUAGAGGAGAGUGGAAUUCCACAUGUAGCGGUGAAAUGCGUAGAUAUGUGGUGGAACACCAGUGGCGAAGGCGGCUCUCUGGAUCAAAACUGACGCUGAGGUGCGAAAGCGUGGGUAGCAAACAGGAUUAGAAACCCGAGUAGUCC
rnacentral:rRNA from 1 species